rnacentral:rRNA from 1 species
CCUACGGGUGGCUGCAGUGGGGGAUAUUGCACAAUGGGGGAAACCCUGAUGCCGCGACGCCGCGUGUGGGAAGACGGUCUUCUGGAUUGUAAACCACUGUCCCCAGGGACGAAAAUGACGGUACCUGGGGAGGAAGCUCCGGCUAACUACGUGCAAGCAGCCGCGGUAAUACGUAGGGAGCAAGCGUUGUCCGGAAUUACUGGGUGUAAAGGGAGCGUAGGCGGGGAUGCAAGUUGGGUGUCAAAACUACCGGCUCAACCGAUAGUCGCACUCAAAACUGCAACUCUUGAGUGAAGUAGAGGCAGGCGGAAUUCCUAGUGUAGCGGUGAAAUGCGUAGAUAUUAGGAGGAACACCAGUGGCGAAGGCGGCCUGCUGGGCUUUUACUGACGCUGAGGCUCGAAAGUGUGGGGAGCAAACAGGAUUAGAUACCCCUGUAGUC